rnacentral:lncRNA from 1 species
GUUGCUGUGUUAAGUCUCUGUCUUCCAGGUGCCGGUGAUUUAACCACCUGGGUGGGCGUGUCCCUCCCCUAUAAAGAUCCGGCACUUCCUGCAUUCGAGGAGCAAGAGAGGAAGGGAGCAAACCUAUUGAGAACUUUGUUUGAUAACUUUGAUUGAGAAUUGGAACUUUGUAUAUUAAACCUUGGCGUUUCGGAUAAACUUUUGUGUUGUUGGUUUCUUGUAACAAGCCUAAGAGCCGGGUUGUUACAACACACACACACACACAGAUCUGUUGUAUCAGCACUCACUCCUCCAGAAAAAUCUCCACAAACUUCCCAAAGCGACUGGAGUUGUCAUUCCGGACGGUUUUGGCAUUCCCAAAAGAUUCUAGCAGCGGAGUGGCCUGCAGAAUCUGCAUCAAACACACACAAAAUACACAACGUAUUAUACACACACACACACACACACACAAACACACAACAUAUUACACACACACACACACACACAAAUACACGCACACACACAACAUAUUACACACACACAUACACACCCACUCACAACAUAUUACACACACACACACACACACACACACACAAAUACACACACAUACACAAUUAGACUUUGAGCCUGAGACACACACACACAUUUACACACACACACAUACACACACACACACUUUGAGCCAGAGACACACACACACAAACACAGACACACACACACACACACACUUUGAACCAGAGACACACAUACAAACACACACACUUUUAACCAGAGACACAUACAUACACACACACACACACGCGCACACACACACACACACACACACACACACACACACACACACACACACACACAGGAAGAGUUUUUACCUCAAUCUAGAAGCCAACAAGCAGCAGUCAGAGGAGAGAGAGAGAGAGGGGGAGAGAGGGAUGAGUGAGAGAGAGAGAGGGGGAGAGAGAGAGAGAGAGAGAGAGGGGGAGAGAGAGAGAGAGGGGGAUGUGUUAAUAACAGGUUUAUAUCACAGGUCCUUCCUGUUGAGGAAUGUUAU